UAACCUGCCCAAGAGAUCGGGAUAACACCUGGAAACAGAUGCUAAUACCGGAUAACAACAGAUGAUGCCUAUCAACUGUUUAAAAGAUGGUUCUGCUAUCACUCUUGGAUGGACCUGCGGUGCAUUAGCUAGUUGGUAGGGUAACGGCCUACCAAGGCGAUGAUGCAUAGCCGAGUUGAGAGACUGAUCGGCCACAUUGGGACUGAGACACCGGACCCAAACUCCGUACGGGAGGCAGCAGUU
rnacentral:rRNA from 1 species